AAACUGUUUACCACCAAAUUCGAUUGUC
rnacentral:sRNA from 1 species